rnacentral:rRNA from 1 species
UACGUAGGGUGCAAGCGUUGUCCGGAAUUAUUGGGCGUAAAGAGCUCGUAGGCGGUUUGUCGCGUCUGCUGUGAAAACUCGGGGCUUAACCCCGGGCCUGCAGUGGGUACGGGCAGACUAGAGUGCGGUAGGGGAGACUGGAAUUCCUGGUGUAGCGGUGAAAUGCGCAGAUAUCAGGAGGAACACCGGUGGCGAAGGCGGGUCUCUGGGCCGAAAUUGACGCUGAGGAGCGAAAGCGUGGGGAGCAAACAGG